rnacentral:lncRNA from 1 species
AGAAGGCUGUAUGUUCUUGACAAGGACAUAAUACAGAAUGAUAACAGAGCUACUGGAAAUUAAUUUGGUUAUUAGCAAUCUUAACUGACCAGUAAGGAGAAAAUGAAGAGAAUGGUAAUGAUUAGAUCCAAAUGAAAUGGCAUGGCAGAAGAGGCAAGUGUAGAGGAGGCUUUUUAAUCUUUUUGGCAUCAUGGACCCCUUCUCCAAUCGAUAAUUUUAAAUGCAUAAAAUAAAAUAUAUAGGAUUACAAAGAAAGUCAGUUACAAUGAAAUAAUUCUCAAAAUAAUUGAUAAAGCAAAUUCAUAGACCUCUUGAUUCUAUCCAGAGGUCCAUUAACCCCAGGUUAAGAACUCCUUAAGUAAAGAGGGAGAAGCUGGUGGACAGAAGAUGUAGAAGGUAAGAAUUUUAGGUGGAAGGAGGUAGGAAAAGCAUGAAGGGCAGAGGCAAUACAAUAUAUAUCUCUCCCGAGGUAAUGUGUCGGGUAUUUGGUUUUAGGUGCCUGUGACAUUUGAUGAUGUGGCUGUAUAUUUCUCAGAGAAGGAGUGGGGGAACCUGGACAAGUGGCAGAAAGCUUUACAAGCACGUGAUGACAGGCAACUAUGAGAUGCUUGUCUCCUUGGACUAUGCUCUUUCCAAACCUGAAUUUCUGACCCGAAUUGAACAAGGGGAAGAACCAUAUAUCCAGAAUCAUUUGGACUCAGAAGAGACAGAAAUAGCAGAAAAUCUUGACCUUGGUGAGUCUUACUGAACUUUCAAGGCCAAAGCUUCAUUUAAUGAACUGAAAUUCUCUAGGUUUGGGGGCUGAUUUUUUCCUUCUCUUUGGGAGCUCCUUAUCACUGAUGUGCUGACUUAAUAAUCCCUAAUAGCUUCUCAGCUAAGCCAGUUUCAGAUUUUUUCUUUCCAAUUUCCUGCUCUCCAUUGAGAGAUCUGUAAUGGAAUGGUCACUAGCUGCCAGAAACAUGGAAUAUGAUCUCCCUUCCCAAGGACAGGACCUCCACUUUCUACUAAUACUGUACAACCGUGUGCUAAGCAAGAAGAUCAAGGGCCCAGGGAUCAGAACAACAUAGAGGAAAGCGUCCCUAGUGUAGAUCUGAACAGAGGUUAGAAACACAAUCUGAGCUCUCUUGGUCUGAAGGGGAAAACUGGGUUUGCUAAGACUACCCUGUGGAUGGCUUCUGUUAACAGGGCUCUGACAUCUCAGGAUUGAGAGCCAGUACUUGCUUGGUUUUUUGAGAGCUGAUUUUUCAUCUCUUCCCUGGGGACCCCCAGGAGAUGCUUUCCUCCCUACAUGGGGAACUGCUAUAUAUGCCCUCUCCCAGUAUGAGCUCCUAGAUCAGGAACUCUUCCAUUUUUAUUACAUCUCCAGCAUUUAGCAGUGCCUGGCACACAAUAAGCAAUUAAUAAAUACUUCUAAAAAAAGCUUCACUAAAUGCAUUCAUCAUAGAGCAAGUGACCUAUUACAGACUCAAGUUUUGAGAGUUUUUGAAUCUUAGCUCUGAUGCAGUUUCAUUUUAUGACAAGUCAGUUCAAAACAUUAAAUCCAGUUUCCUUUUCUGUAAAUUGGGUGUAAUAAUGCAUGCACUACCUACUUCAUUGGGUUGUUGUAAAGAAAGUCUUGAUCUACUUUGAAGUAUUAUCGAAUGUGGGUGGCUGCUAUUCUUUCUCUCCAGCUGGCUACACGUGGGGCAAGGACAGAGGAACUUGGGAACAGUAUUUUUCUGGUUGGCUACUUAAGUGUCCCCUCAGGACGACUUGACCAUCCUAUAAAAGAGGCUUGGGGAAGGACACACUUAUUUUUCCCCAGUUUUUAAGUAUUGGUAACAGC